UACGGAGGAUGCAAGCGUUAUCCGGAAUGAUUGGGCGUAAAGCGUCCGCAGGUGGCUAUGUAAGUCUGCUGUUAAAGAGUGAGGCUCAACCUUAUAAAAGCAGUGGAAACUACAUGGCUAGAGUGCGUUCGGGGCAGAGGGAAUUCCUGGUGUAGCGGUGAAAUGCGUAGAGAUCAGGAAGAACACCGGUGGCGAAAGCGCUCUGCUAGGCCGCAACUGACACUGAGGGACGAAAGCUAGGGGAGCGAAUGGG
rnacentral:rRNA from 1 species